rnacentral:lncRNA from 1 species
AAAUGAACAGAUUUAUUUCAGCACUGUUUUUGUUUGACAAGCUUUUAAUUCAGCAAGAUUAAUCACAAGAUCAUGCAGUGAAAAUUUUCAGCACCACACACACAGAUAUCUGUUUUGAAAAACAGUGAAACACAAAACUGCAAGCUUCAAUUUCAAGCAAGUGAUUAAGGUUCAAUUGAUAGCAUGCUGAUUAAUUGAGUGAUCUUUGCACACAAGCUGUUCCAGUGGCCUUUAACAGACUAUGAAUGUUCUUCUUGAUGUUAAGCAAUUUUCCAGAAAUUAAGAACACUUAAUCACAGAACAGCAAGCUUCAACUUGUAGCAAUUUGUUUAAGGUUCAAUUAAUGAUAUUGACAGUUUCUUGAUCAGCUUAUCACAAUCAAUCUGUUCCAAUGGUUUUAGCAGAUUAUGUAUGUUCUUAUCAGAUUACAACAGCUUUUUCAGAAAUCAAGAACAGUAUGCACAGUGCCCAGAAAGAACAGAUUUAUUUACAAUUGAACAGAUUUAUUUCUUUGCAGUUUUAUCAAUUAUGCAGAAACGAAAUUGCAGAGUGAGGGAGAGAAUGAACACAAACAAUUAUACUGGUUCACUCAACCUGAGCUACAUCCAGUCUUCACCAACAACAGGUGGAAUUCACU